GCUGAGCUGAGGGAUGCUGGGCGCUGGUGCCAGUGGCCGGGGCUGAGCCUUCGUAGGAACUACGCGUCUCAGUCACAGGCAGUGGUAGGUGAGACAGCUCUGGCGUGUGGCCCUGCACCCAGGACACUGACCAGGACAUCUGUGCUGCCCGGCUCCCGCGGCCACAGCCACCUCAGAGGUGACAGGACAGGACAAGACAGCGGCCCACCCGAGAACCCCGCUGGCCGUAGCGCGAGGGAGCAGCGCCAGGACCUCGGCAUCUGGUGCGUGUCACAUGGCAGGACUGCGGCGGUUACUGGCGAGGUUGCCCAUGGGUCUCCUUUCCGGUUCAGGGUGAUCCAACUGCAGGGCCGGCCUUUCAGGGUCUGCAGGAUUGGCCUUUUGGGGUCAGUGGGGUUGGCUUUUCGGGGUCUGUGGGGCCGGCCUUUUGGGGUCUGCGGGGCUGGCCGGCGGCUCCUGAUUUGCUCUUCUCCCUUCUCUGCGUGUCUCGCUGCAAACGCGCCCACCUCGCUGAUCUUUCCAGAACCGGCUCUACGCUCGGCGGUCUGUGAGGUGUGUGUUUUCAGGUCACGCGUUUCUGCCCCUGGCUCUCUCCUGCUGCGGCUCGCUGGGUUCUUCUUGCUCUUCUUUCCUGGUUUCUGGGAUGGGAUGUGGGUGAGGGUCUCACGUGUGUGCCGAGGUCCCACGAGCGUCCUGCUGCGCACUCCUUAGCCCCGUGCGCGUCCCCACAUCAGAGGGGUCUUUCAUAGCCUCCAGGGGGUCCCAGCCCCCGCUGUUCUGUCCACGCGGCCCUGGCGGGGAGUCCCACUCCUUGUUUGACGCGGGUGUGGGCACGGUCCCAGGUCAGGCCCUCCCUGCAGGUGCCGCCGUCCCGCCUCUGCGGUCGGGAUCGGGACAAAGCCUGCACCUGCUUUGCCUGGCGCUGCAGACCAAUGCCCCCGCACACCAGGGACGUGUCUUCAUUACCCUCGCCUGGCUCUCUGUUCUGCUUUUGAAUUUCCUUCUCAGGGACACCGCAGAUCCUGAUGCAGACGCAGCUUCGUGAGGACGCCGAGCGGUUUAUCAUCUCCUUCCGGUUCUUCCCUCUGGGCGAGCAUCUCCGGUCGGUGUGGGCGCCUCAGGCUUCCCCUCCGUCGGCGAUUCGGUGCUUAGCCGUGCUCGUUCUGAUCUCUGCUCCAUCGGAUUUCCUUUUCAGUUUCAUAUUAUGUGGCUUUGAGCCUCCUUUUGUUUCUUUAACUGUGAAAUCUGUGGUUUUCCUCUCAUUCUUCAGUUUUGUCAUCUAAU
rnacentral:lncRNA from 1 species